GCAGCUCAAUGAUAGAGCAUCUGUUUUGCUUACAGAAGGUCCUAGGUUGAAUCCCUAGCAUCUCCA